CAGCCACCUGAUUCUUGCAGACAUGGAGGACUUGCGCAGGCUCGGGCCUCACUUUCUCCACUGUGGCCUCAAAAGCUCCUUGCUUGUCCGAAAGGCCAGUAGCUGCAGCCUUGAUGGGAGGUGUGGCACCCUAUGAGAAAUCCAAGAUAAUCCAGCAGUGAAAAACUAGGAGUCCAAAAUAUUCAGAUUCGGGCUUGUAAAGACCUGUAAACUUAUAGCAUUUCCCCUAGUUAAAAAGAAAAACAAAAAAAUAAGGGCAGAAGAAGUAAAAACAAAAAGAAACGAAGAAGGCACCUUCACAGGCAUAGCAACAAUCAUGUGACCUGGCGCCCCAGGUUUCCAAGCAGCCAAUCUCCACGAACACAGGCGCAGAGUUCCUGGGCAGGGAGGACACAAACAGGCUGGCGGUUCAUUAAACGGUGGGUCCCAGGAGACAGGGGAUCUUCUGGACCCAAGGAUCAAACCCGCAUCUCUUUCGUCUCCAGAAUUGGCAGGCGGGUUCAUUAUCACCUGAGAGGCCCCGGAGUGAAGGACCUGCCGUUCUCCGAGGUUCAGACUCAGGACCUUCAGGUUAUUUUGGAUUUUCACUUGAGUUUUCCUCAGUGCUGUCUGACUGCAAAAGUAAUUCAAAUAUGGAAAGAUAAAGCCACCAGGAGUGCCAGCCAAACAGCAAACUCUCAAAACUCCAGAGAAAGUACUCAGAAGUCAGGAUAUGACAAAGAGCUUCAUCUUCUCCCUUCUGCCAACAAGUGUGUCUGAAUUACAUUUAUCCCACUCCAGCCUGAAAUCUUCUCAUUGACCUUUUAGAGAUUACUCUUCUAACAAACUUGAACGAGAAAAUCAUUUUCCUUACUUCACUCUUCAGAGAGCUCUCUUCUGCCUCUUCCUCGAGUGCUGGCAGGAAGGACACGGAACCCGUUCUGUUCAACUGAAAGGCACAGCACAAAGACCUGCGGCUGGGCUGCUGUUCAACGUCAUCAGGAUCCCGCCAAAGCUUCCUACCAUAUGGGAAUAAAUAAGCAGAUAAAGGUGCUGUGAAGUGUAAUUUGUUAUGGGAAUGAUGAAGAGAUGAUUCCAAGCUUUAUAAGAGACAGAGAAACUCCACCUAUGAGUGAAAGUUCUGAAGUCCAGAGAAAGAAGGUGAUUCGUCCAGAGCUGCAGCCAGUGACAGAGCACAGACCUGGACUUCUGACACCCAGCCCCCAUGACUCCAGUGCUACUGCACACGUUCUGACACCAUACCCCUAUUCUGUCUGAAGUGAAACUUCUUGCCAUUGCUUUGGGAAAUGAUAACUUAAUUCAGUCUGAGUUGGCUGUGGUGUGUGUCCCUUUUCAAUAAGCACUAAACUUCAGAGGUACAGUGCCUCCCAACAGACAUAACACUACAGCCGUUAGAACAGCACUUAGAGAAACAGACCAGUCUCCAGAGCCACUGGCAUUACGGAGGCAGAGAAGGGCACAAAGCUGCCAUUCUCAAAGCGGCAUUUGCAAACCCCAGGAGGUCUGCACUCUAUGAGGUCAAGAUCAUUUUCAUAAUAAUACCAAAAUGUUACUGGCCUUUCUCACUGUGUUGACAGUACAUCACAUUCACUGUGUGAUGUAGUAAAAGCUGCUGCUGCUGCUGCUAGGUUGCUUCAGUCGUGUCCGACUCUGUGCGACCCCAGAGACGGCAAUGCUGGGUAAGACUACUGACGUCUGGUAGGAACCAAGGCAGAAACAUCAACUGUAUUAGCAUUACUAGAUGCUUCAUAUCUAGUAAUUUAGCAUCAUACUAAAUUUAGUAAUUUAGUAUCAUGAAUUUAACUGUACAAAAAGCCAACUUCAGUUAAGAAUAUCCUUGAUAAAGAAUAUGUAUUUUUAAUACUCUGUUUGACAAAGUGGGAAGCCUGCAUAAAGCACUUCUGUUGUACACCAAAGUUUAAUGGUUGAGGAAAAGCACUCCUGUGAUGAAGUUUCAAACUGACCUAUCCAUUUUUUUUUUCAUUGAAUACUAUUUUUAUUUGAAAAAAAGACAGUUGUUAAACUAUACAUACAUAUGUAUAUAAUACACAUAAAGAUUUUUCUGAAGAG